UUGCUUUGGCAGCACAUGUACUAAAAUUGUAAUGAUACAGAGAUUAACCCCUGUGCAAGGAUGACAUGCAAAUUCAUGAAGUAUUCCAUAAUUUU
rnacentral:snRNA from 1 species